GACGAACGCUGGCGGCGUGCUUAACACAUGCUAGUCGAACGGAAAGGCCCUGCUUUUGUGGGGUGCUCGAGUGGCGAACGUGUGAGUAACACGUGAGUAACCUGCCCUUGACUUUGGGAUAACUUCAGGAAACUGGGGCUAAUACCGGAUAGGAGCUCCUGCUGCAUGGUGGGGGUUGGAAAGUUUCGGCGGUUGGGGAUGGACUCGCGGCUUAUCAGCUUGUUGGUGGGGUAGUGGCUUACCAAGGCUUUGACGGGUAGCCGGCCUGAGAGGGUGACCGGCCACAUUGGGACUGAGAUACGGCCCAGACUCCUAAGGGAGGCAGCAGUGGGGAAUAUUGCACAAUGGGCGGAAGCCUGAUGCAGCAACGCCGCGUGCGGGAUGACGGCCUUCGGGUUGUAAACCGCUUUCGCCUGUGACGAAGCGUGAGUGACGGUAAUGGGUAAAGAAGCACCGGCUAACUACGUG
rnacentral:rRNA from 1 species